rnacentral:rRNA from 1 species
CGAACGCCGGCGGCAGGCCUAACACAUGCAAGUCGAGCGCCCCGCAAGGGGAGCGGCAGACGGGAGAGUAACACGUGGGAACGUACCCUUUGGUUCGGAACAACCCAGGGAAACUUGGGCUAAUACCGAAUAAGCCCUUACGGGGAAAGAUUUAUCGCCGAAGGAUCGGCCCGCGUCUGAUUAGCUAGUUGGUGAGGUAACGGCUCACCAAGGCGACGAUCAGUAGCUGGUCUGAGAGGAUGAUCAGCACAUUGGGACUGAGACACGGCCCAAACUCCUACGGGAGGCAGCAGUGGGGAAUAUUGGACAAUGGGCGCAAGCCUGAUCCAGCCAUGCCGCGUGAGUGAUGAAGGCCCUAGGGUUGUAAAGCUCUUUUGUGCGGGAAGAUAAUGACGGUACCGCAAGAAUAAGCCCCGGCUAACUUCGUGCCAGCAGCCGCGGUAAUACGAAGGGGGCUAGCGUUGCUCGGAAUCACUGGGCGUAAAGGGUGCGUAGGCGGGUCUUUAAGUCAGGGGUGAAAUCCUGGAGCUCAACUCCAGAACUGCCUUUGAUACUGAGGAUCUUGAGUUCGGGAGAGGUGAGUGGAACUGCGAGUGUAGAGGUGAAAUUCGUAGAUAUUCGCAAGAACACCAGUGGCGAAGGCGGCUCACUGGCCCGAUACUGACGCUGAGGCACGAAAGCGUGGGGAGC